AAUACACAUCCACACACAUCCACACACAUCCACACACACCCACACAUCCACGUCCAGGGGAGUUCCUCCCACGCAGCAAAGGUGGGACAGGCAGGCGGGAGCGGCCGCGGCACCGCUGAAAUCCAGGGGCUGCUCCUGUGCAGCAGAUGAAAGACAAACCCAGUCUCCACCGCAGGCAGAAAAACGGAGUGAUGGAGAUGGACCCAUUCUUAUGUAUUUUGUAUUUAUAGUUCCUGUUCCUGCUCUGGAUUACUCUAGACUUGUGAAGUGAGUAGCAUCACUAGAACCAGCCAACAAGAGCACUCCUCUCUAACAUUUGUGAAGCUGUACAGAUAAAAGUAAACUAGUCCUGGUUACUAGGCUGAAUAUCUUCCUGAAGGACCUGGUCCACUGAGGCGGCAGCAAAACUAAGUUACAGACAGCACCAGUCUCAGCACCUUUAGAGAUGGACAAUCAAAGUUAACACAAGGAAACUGGUAUUUUUCAGCUGAAUCCACCAUCUCUGUGUUUCUUAAGCAAGUUGGGAUCACUUCUCAAGAAGAGCUGUAUGCAUGUCACAGCUCUUCCCUUCACUAUGCAUUUUGCAUUCUUGUUCUUAACCUAAAGUCACUUGCAACCAUUUUGAUGGCCAGAUUCAAACAGAUCAACUUACAUCCCUAAAGCAACAUACAAAAAGUCUCCUGGCUCAUAAAUGUUCCUUCUAACAGCAGAUGUCAGAAGGAACAACGUUCCUUCUAAGUGCUCCUUCUGCAUUAGCAGAAAAAUACAGAGCAGCUUUAGAUAUUUUUAUUUGCUGAAUCACAUUUAAUAAAACCUAACCAAGAGCCCAAUCUGUAUCAUGGACAUUGACUAGGCAUUCAGUACUAUGACUUUUGUUUUUUUACAGUGCACAGAUCAUCCUAAGAGAGAAUUCAGCUGGGGUAGAGGCACAUCCCAAACCCAUAGCUGGGUUCUUCCAUAAGUAUCAUGCCAUGCACUGCACAAACUUCUUCAUGAGGGGAGCAGCACAUGCAAGGGCACUGUCCUGGCUCAGUUCUUUGGAAAAGCUGCUUGCUGUAUUACACCUUUCUAGUGCUCAGGAGACUGUGUGCCACCAGCCUGUGACCUCCUGCCAAGUGCUUGUGGUGCAGACAAGAGAGCAGCAGGGAAAGGAAGGGUGUCUUUGGGCCACAAAUGCCAGGAGUUGGGUGUCUGCACCCAGCCCUGCAGCAGAGAGCCAUCGCCCACUCUGAAUUCGCAAAUGCAGCUAUUUUCUCCCCAAGUUUAAUUACAUUGACUACAUCUUUGUUAGGGAGGUAUCUUCCCCUGCAUAAAGCCAUAGCUCAAAGAAGGUUUUUCCCAUCGCAAAAUCUAGGAUUAAAAGCAGAUACUGCUAUGUUGCCACCUUCACAAAUCAAGAUGAUUAGUCAUUAGAUUUCUUGUUUCAUUACCAAAUAAGAUAAGAUAGUUACAAGAAAACAUUAACAUGGUUAAGACUUUGAUUACUUGCCAAUUAGUUUAACUGCUUAAGCUGUGUGCAGAAACCAUGGAAAACUGACAGUGGGUAAUACAAUGCAGAUGUAUAUGCUGGCAGACAAAUUUACUAAAUAAAUUAGACCUUGAUAAAAGU